CCGGAGGGAGGAAGAACGCCCAGCUGGACGUAGUUGUUGAGGACAGCGUCAGUGGACAGACGCAGCAGAGCAAUGUCGUAACUACAAGAAGCAGGAAGCAAAUGCCAUUUUUUUAAGAUUCUUGAAAGCUUUUCCAUGAUGCAUAAGACUCCCACCUGUCCACACAGUGAGCAGCAGUCAUGACCCAUCCUCUCCUAACGAGAGUUCCUCCACAGGUGUGGUAGAAGUAGCUUCCAGAUUGGUACUGAAGGGAGAUCUGAAAAACGCCAAGAGACAGUUUUGCAAACACAAGGUCCGGCCUGGCCC